GGAGAAGUGACACAGUUUAAACAUGAACAUUGUGGAACUAAUUUGUAUAAUCGGAACUACUUUCGUGUCAGUCAUUUGUGUUUGUCCUAACGGAUGGGUUAGACAUGGAUCAUCUUGUGUUCAAGUCAGUCCUGAAGCUCUGAACUUGCCAGAAGCAGAUACGCCAUCUCUUGGAUCUGUGCAAUGGAGCCAUACAGAAGUGAUAUUUUGUAUCGUUAUAGUUACUAUGGUAACCACUGCGGUUGCAAUGAUAAUAAGAAGGAAGUGUUUUAAACGGUCCUUUAUUAAGAGAGGACAAUGAAAAAAUGAAUCUGUUAUGAAGACCUACUGUGAUAUACAAAAGACAACGAUCUAUUUACGUAAUCUGAUCUUGUGUGCUUUCUUGACCUGUUUGGCGACUGGAAUGAAAUUAGAAAUUUAUAAAUUUAUAGCUACCAAAAUGCAAAAUAAA